AUGAUCCAGGCGGUGAUGGUUAUCAGCACUCUGGGCAAGCCCCGCCUCCUCAAGUUCUACAAUUUCCAGGAUUCGGAGAAGCACCAGGAGCUGGUCCGCGGCGUCUUCCAGUUGUUAUCUGCGAGGCCCGAGGGUGUGAGCAAUUUCGUCGAGGCCGAUGCAAUCUUUGGACCGGGAACGAGACUGGUCUACAAGCAUUUGGCGACACUAUACUUCGUCUUUGUCUUUGAUAGCUCUGAGAAUGAGCUUGCCAUGCUCGACCUUGUACAAGUUUUUGUUGAAACAUUGAAUAGGUGCUUCAAGAAUGUAUGUGAGCUUGACAUUGUAUUUAACUUCAACAAGCUUCACACAGUUUUGGAUGAAAUGAUACUGGGAGGACAAGUGAUUGAAACAAGUUCAGAGCAAAUAAUGAAAUCUGUAGAAGAGAUUGCGAGGCUAGAGAAACAAUCAAGCACAACUAGCCUCAUACCAAAGUCAAUAUCGGAGCGUUUCAGCCGUUAA
rnacentral:rRNA from 1 species